UGGCUGCUGCUUACCACAGGCUGUGUUCAUAAUUCUGAUGCCCAGGAAGAGGAGACAGGGAGAAUUUACCCCAUGUACACCUCAGGCCAGACCCCGCUCCUGGUCUGCAUGAAUAGGGAGCAUGG
rnacentral:snoRNA from 1 species